ensembl:lncRNA
GGCCCCGGGUGCCAGCCUCCUCCCCUGGCCGCCGGCCCGUCGGCCCUGCAAAGUUUGACGCCGGUUCCCCUGGCGUCCUGGGGGCCGAGCGUUUCCUCUCGUUGGAUGCUCCGGCAGCCCUCCGCGGGCACGGCCAAGCUGAAGAGCGUCCGGACCAUUUCCCAGACGGUACGUUCCUGAGCCCUAGAGCGCAUCACAAUCUAUGCUGAAGUCACUUGGCCAGGAUUCAAUGCCAAGUCUGAGUCCAGAGAUCAGAACCCACUGCAUCUCAACAGGCUGUUUGCCAGAAGGAAGAAUCACUCAGCAUCACAAGAACAGAGACCCAGGGAAUCUCUCUUCAGAGGUCACAGAUGGACUUGAGUCCAGGAGCCCAAGGGAGAGUGGAAGGAAGCUGGGGAGCCCAGAGACUGCCCCUGACUCCUGUGUGAUGUCUAUUCUAAGCUCCAUGAACGGAAGAAUUCUUUUCAGCAUAAAGCACAAAAGAGGUUUUCAAUGAAAUCUUGUUCAGUACUGAUUGAUUGACUGACUGACUGAAUGGAUUUCCACAUUGCAGAUGAGUAAACAGUGGCAAGGAGAUCAAACCAGUCCAUCCUAAAGAAAAUCAACCCUGAAUAUUCACUGUAAGGACUGAUGCUGAAGCUGAAGCUCCAACACUUUGGCCACCUGAUGCAAAGAGCCGAUUCAUUGGAAAAGACCCUGAGGCUGGGAAAGAUUGAAGGCAGGAGGAGAAGGAGACAACAGAGGAUGAGAUGGUUGGCUGGCAUCACUGACUCAUGGACAUGAAUUUGAGCAAACUCCAGAAAGUAGUGGAGGACAGGGAAGCCUGGCGUGCUGCAGUCUAUGGCGUCGCAAAGAGUCUGACACAACUGAGCGGCCGAACAACACCAAACAGAGGCUCAGCUGGGGGAUGACAUUUGCCAGCAGUCACCAGUCAGUGACAGAAUGGGGACUCGAACCCAGGGCUGUCUGACCUCUGCCUGGAGUUUCUAACCACUCGACCACACUGCCUAGGAAUGAGGUAUACCUCCCGGCAGUAAGAGUCUAAACCAGCAGGAGUUCCCAGACGGAGACAUGAUCUAGGUGCCACUGUCUGAAUGUCUGUGAGCAUUUCUAGUUGUUUCAAGAAAAGGCGACGUCAGCGGCACCAUUAAAGCCUGCUGUUCCCCGUGCCAUCCCUGCCAUCCCCACGUAUUAGAAUAAUGGCGUGAGAAAUAAACAGCCUUUAUGGACAAUUUUAUACAAAUGGCACGCACUGUUUGUUUCUCUUACCGUUACCAUGGCAGUGAUGGUCUCUGGAUAACUUCCUGUUUCUACAUGAUGGAAGGGAAUGGAAGAAAAUUGCUUGGGGAAAAUGUGCCAAACAAAGGCUGUUUCCUUUUUCUCAUGCCCCACCCCCUGGCAUGCACGGCAGCUGCACACUCUGAAUACCUAUGCCCAGGGCCAGGGCUGCCUCUUAACCUAGAGCCUGCCAUGGCUCCCUAGUGCCAUGAGCUGAAGGCCAGGAAUCUUGGCUCGGCUGUAAGGUGUCUACUGCCUGCCUUCCUCUCCUGCGCUUUGUCUUCCUGUCUGUAGCAACCCCCUCCUCAUUUUGCCCCCUCUCCUUGACAC